AUGAGGAAGCAGCAGGGUUUAAGCGGCGGCCAUGGCGACGUUGACGAUGGGGAGUGGGACAAAUGGGUGGACGACUCCUCCGUCGACCACCGCGGCCGCCCGCCCCUCCGCGCCGCCACCGGCUCAUGGAGGGCCGCCAUGUUCAUCAUCCUGAUCGAGUUCAGCGAGCGGCUGAGCUACUUCGGCAUAGCGACGAGCCUCAUGAUCUACCUCACCAAGGUGCUGCACCAGGACAUGAAGGUCGCCGCCGAGAACUCCCAGUACUGGAUGAGCGUCACCACCCUCAUGCCCCUCCUCGGCGGCUUCCUCGCCGACGCCUACCUCGGUCGCUUCCGCACCGUGCUCCUCUCCACCGCCGUCUACCUCCUCGGCCUCGUCCUGCUCGCGGUGGCUCAGCUGGCGCCGGGACUGAAGCCGAGUGGUGUCUCCGUGCCGCGGGUUCACGAGACGCUCUUCUUCGUCGGGAUCUACCUCGUGUCCGUCGGAACCGGCGGCCACAAACCGGCGCUCGAGAGCUUCGGCGCCGACCAGUUCGACGACGGCCACGCUGGCGAGCGGCUGCAGAAGAUGUCCUACUUCAACUGGUGGAACUGCGCGCUCUGCUCGGGGGUGCUGCUCGGGGUCACCGUCGUCGUCUACAUCCAGGAGCGUGUCGGAUGGGGCGCCGCCACCGUGCUCCUCGCCGCCGUCAUGGGCUGCUCCCUCGUCGUCUACCUCGCGGGGUGGCGGACCUACCGGUACAGGGUGCCGCAGGGCAGCCCCCUCACGCCUCUGCUGCGGGUUGCUGUGGCUGCGGUCAUGAAGCGGCGCCUUCAGCUGCCAGCCGACGCCGGCGAGCUGUACGAGGAGAACGACGGAAAGAAGAGGCUGCUCUGCCACACCGACCAGCUCCGGUGUCUCGACAAGGCGGCAAUCUUUGAGCAUGGUGGCGAGGUCUGGCGCGGGGCGUGGCGUCUGGCGACGGUGACGCAGGUGGAAGAGACGAAGCUGGUGGUGUCGAUGGUGCCCAUCUGGGUGGCCACGCUCCCGUUCGGCAUGGCGGCGGCGCAGGUGUCCACUUUCUUCAUCAAGCAGGGCAUGGCCAUGGACCGCCACCUCGGCCCACACUUCGUACUCCCGCCGGCGUCCGUCUUCGCCCUGGCCGCGCUCGCCAUGAUCGCCACCGUGGCGCUCGUCGACAAGGUGCUCGAGCCGUGCCUGCGCCGCGCGACGGGCGCCGAGCGCGGGAUCAGCGUCCUGAGGCGCAUCGGCGUCGGCAUGGCGUUCGCCGUGGUGGCGAUGGCCGUGGCGGCCGUCGUCGAGCGCCGCCGCCUGGACUCCAAGGUCACCAUGUCGGUGUUCUGGCUGGUGCCGCAGUUCGCGCUGAUGGGCGUGGGCGACGGGUUCGCGCUGGUGGGGCUCCAGGAGUACUUCUACGACCAGAUGCCGGACACGAUGCGCAGCCUGGGCAUCGGGCUGUACCUGAGCGUGAUCGGCGCCGGGAGCUUCCUGAGCAGCCAGCUGAUCGCGGCGGCGAGCCGCCUGAGCUCGCACGGCGGGCGGCGGGACGGGUGGUUCGGCAAGGACCUGAGCCGGAGCAGGCUGGACCUCUUCUACUGGCUGCUGGCCGGCAUCUCCGCCGCCAACCUGGGCUUCUACGUGCUGGUCGCCACCCGGUACUCGUACAAGCAGCAGACCGCGAAGGCCGGCAGGGUCGGCGCCGACAAGGACGCCGCCGCAGGCGACGUCGAGUGCGCCAUCGCCGCCGCUGCUUAA
rnacentral:rRNA from 1 species